rnacentral:rRNA from 1 species
GGAGGGUGCAAGCGUUGUUCGGAAUUAUUGGGCGUAAAGCGCGUGUAGGCGGUUGUCUAAGUCUGAUGUGAAAGCCCCGGGCUUAACCUGGGAAGUGCAUUGGAAACUGGGCAACUUGAGUACGGGAGAGGAAAGCGGAAUUUCGAGUGUAGGGGUGAAAUCCGUAGAUAUUCGAAGGAACACCAGUGGCGAAGGCGGCUUUCUGGACCGAUACUGACGCUGAGACGCGAGAGCGUGGGGAGCAAACAGGAUUAGAUACCCUGGUAGUCCACGCCGUAAACGAUGGGUACUAGGUGUAGCGGGUAUUGACCCCCCCUGCUGUGCCGAAGCUAACGCAUUAAGUACCCCGCCUGGGGAGUACGGCCGCAAGGCUA